ACAAAGCUCAGAGAGUUUGAAUCAGUAAUAGCUUGUGACCGAAUAAUAACAGUGAAAUAAAGUGAAGUAAAAAAACUGAAAGAACAAAGAAACAAGACAAUCAAGCCGAAUUAUUCCGGCGGCGAUAGUGCAGUAGUCCCACCUGAACCCAUGCCGAACUCAGAAGUGAAAUGCUGUAAUGCCGAUGGUAGUGUGGGGUCUCCCCAUGUGAGAGUAGGACACCGCCGGAU
rnacentral:rRNA from 1 species